AGAGGAAGUAAAAGUCGUAACAAGGUUUCCGUAGGUGAACCUGCGGAAGGAUCAUUAAUGAUUGCGAAUUGUUGCCUUCAGUGCUGGCUUCGGCAAGUGCACGUCGGUGACUUUCAUCCAAUACCCUGUGCACCUUUGGCCUCUUGCUAGCUUCGGCCGGCAGAGGAUUUUACACAAACUCGAAUGUAAUGAAAUUUAUUGUCGUGCGCAAGCACUAAUGUACAACUUUCAACAACGGAUCUCUUGGCUCUCGCAUCGAUGAAGAACGCAGCGAAAUGCGAUAAGUAAUGUGAAUUGCAGAAUUCAGUGAAUCAUCGAAUCUUUGAACGCACCUUGCACCCUUUGGCAUUCCGAAGGGUAUGCUCGUUUGAGUGUCAUUGUACUCUCACACUCCCAAUGCUUUUGGAUUGGGAGCGGUGGACUUGGGUGUUGCUGCUUUACAGUGGCUCGCCUCAAAUGGAGUAGUGCAACUCUCGGUUGGACAUAGUACGGCGUGAUAAGUGUCUUCGCCGGCGCCUCACUAGAGGGUGGCUGAUCGGGAGCUCUGUGCUUCAAACCGUCUUCGGACAAUCUUUGACAACUUGACCUCAAAUCGAGUAGGACUACCCGCUGAACUUAAGCAUAUCAU
rnacentral:rRNA from 1 species